rnacentral:rRNA from 1 species
GUUUGAUCCUGGCUCAGAUUGAACGCUGGCGGCAGGCCUAACACAUGCAAGUCGAGCGGCAGCACGGGAAGCUUGCUUCCUGGUGGCGAGCGGCGGACGGGUGAGUAAUGCAUAGGAAUCUGCCCGAUAGUGGGGGAUAACCUGGGGAAACUCAGGCUAAUACCGCAUACGUCCUACGGGAGAAAGCAGGGGCUCUUCGGACCUUGCGCUAUCGGAUGAGCCUAUGUCGGAUUAGCUAGUUGGUGAGGUAAUGGCUCACCAAGGCGACGAUCCGUAGCUGGUCUGAGAGGAUGAUCAGCCACAUCGGGACUGAGACACGGCCCGAACUCCUACGGGAGGCAGCAGUGGGGAAUAUUGGACAAUGGGGGGAACCCUGAUCCAGCCAUGCCGCGUGUGUGAAGAAGGCCUUCGGGUUGUAAAGCACUUUCAGUGAGGAAGAAGGCCUCGGGCUUAAUACGUCCGAGGAGGACAUCACUCACAGAAGAAGCACCGGCUAACUCCGUGCCAGCAGCCGCGGUAAUACGGAGGGUGCGAGCGUUAUCGGAAUUACUGGGCGUAAAGCGCGCGUAGGUGGCGUGAUAGCCGGUUGUGAAAGCCCUCGGGUCAACUGGGAACGGAUCCGAACUGUCAUGCUAGAGUGCAGGAAAGGAAGGUAGAAUUCCCGGUGUAGCGGUGAAAUGGUAGAGAUCGGGAGGAAUACCAGUUGGCGAAGCGGCUUCUGGAUGACACUGACAUGAAGUGCGAAAGCGUGGGUAGCAAACAGGGUUAGAUACCCUGGUAUCCACCCGUAAACGAUCGAUUAGCCGUUGGGAGCCUCGAGUUCUUAGUGGCGCAGUUACGCGAUAAGUCGACCGCCUGGGAGUACGGCCGCAAGGUUAAACUCAAAUGAAUUGACGGGGGCCCGCACAAGCGGUGGAGCAUGUGGUUUAAUUCGAUGCAACGCGAAGAACCUUACCUACCCUUGACAUCUUCGGAACCGAGAGAGAUCUUGGUGUGCCUUCGGGAACCGAAAGACAGGUGCUGCAUGGCUGUCGUCAGCUCGUGUUGUGAAAUGUUGGGUUAAGUCCCGUAACGAGCGCAACCCCUGUCCCUAUUUGCCAGCGAUUCGGUCGGGAACUCUAGGGAGACUCCGGUGACAAACCGGAGGAAGGUGGGGACGACGUCAAGUCAUCAUGGCCCUUACGGGUAGGGCUACACACGUGCUACAAUGGCAGGUACAAAGGGUUGCAAGACGGCGACGUGGAGCUAAUCCCAUAAAGCCUGCCUCAGUCCGGAUCGGAGUCUGCAACUCGACUCCGUGAAGUCGGAAUCGCUAGUAAUCGUGCAUCAGAAUGGCACGGUGAAUACGUUCCCGGGCCUUGUACACACCGCCCGUCACACCAUGGGAGUGGACUGCACCAGAAGUGGUUAGCUUAACCUUCGGGGGAGCGAUCACCACGGUGUGGUUCAGGGGUGAAGUCGUACAAGGUAGCCG